UACAGAGGUCUCAAGCGUUGUUCGGAUUCAUUGGGCGUAAAGGGUGCGUAGGUGGCGCCGUAAGUCAGGUGUGAAAUUUCGGAGCUUAACUCCGAAACUGCAUUUGAUACUGCGGUGCUUGAGGACUGGAGAGGAGACUGGAAUUCACGGUGUAGCAGUGAAAUGCGUAGAUAUCGUGAGGAAGACCAGUGGCGAAGGCGGGUUGCUGGGCUGACACUGACGCUGAUGCGCGAAAGCCAGGGGAGCGAACGGG
rnacentral:rRNA from 1 species